AGGGUCCCAGCUAACUCUAUAUUUUGUUUCCCUUUACUCCAAUUCUUGUGUACUAAAGAGCAACCAAAAACCACAUUGAGUCUGAACUUUCUCAGAUUCUUCAGGUCAGCAUCAUCCCAGUACAUUUUAAAGUCCCUGUAUGUCUUUCCUAGAAGGAAGGUGGAGAGAGAAAGGAAGGAAGGAAGGAAAAAAGGAAAGAAGGAACAAAGGAACAAAGGAAUGAAGGGUGAGAGGAAGGAACAAAGGAAGAGAGGGAACAUUUAUUGUGUCUCGCAUGUGCCAGCAUAUUGAGAAAGAAAUAAGGGAAAGGAGCUUGUUGUUGUUGUUUCCUGUAUCCUGUCUCUUUGACAGCCCAGAGGAGCAGAGUGAGAUUUACAUGGUAGGAAGCUUCCUUAGUUUUCUCAUUUGAAGGUCAUUAUAAAGCCCACCUCCUGAAAAACGGCUGUUAACCUUCCCUGGUAAUUGGCACUUUUAUCUGUACUGUCACUCUUUGAGACUCUCAGAAUCACAAAAUCAUAGAUCCGAAACGACGUCAGCGCUGAAAUCCUAGAGAUUGUUACACAGAUUCUGACCUGUUUCAGGAACAUUAAUUUCCUUAGCAAUCGAGUACUGUUUAUGAACUCCUUUUCAGGAUAGUUGAUUUUUUAACAUAUAAAAAUGCACAAGAUUAUAAAGGAAAUUAAUUAUGUUGGAAUACGGUUAUAAAUCGUUUUGUUUUGUUUUUUUAAUACAUGGCUCCGGGUUCAGAACUCUUGGUUGAAGGAUUCUCCAGACACUCAUUUCAUUCAAGGUAACACACCUCUAUUAAGGAACAGCUUUUAAACUAUGCCAAGUCCUAGAUAUCUCAAACAAAACGCAGGCCUCUGCUUCUCCGUUAUUUUGUGGCAUGUGCUAGUAGAUGAGACUCGUGCAAAAUAAGAAAUUCAAAGAAGAGAUUUAAAAAGCAAGAUGUUAUGGAGGGAUUCCCAGCAGCAGUAAAAUGGUAAAUGAACGGCUCCUAGUGAAUCUUGCUGAGGUCUGUCGACUUCGCUUUUGGAACAUCUUUCAAUGCUGCCUUCGUCUCUCCUCCUACUGCCACCGUCCUAAUGCAGCAAUGUGACACCUCAUCUGAGCUGCUGCUAGAGGUGUCUUUACACUGGAGUAGAUUCUCCAUUAACAACCCAAGUAUGCUUUUCCAAAGCAUAGCGGAGAACAUGUCUUCUCCCCCAAUUCAAUAAACUCCAGUGACUCCACA
rnacentral:lncRNA from 1 species